CACUUGGACUUUAUUGUGUGUCAUUAAUAGUGGCUGGCAAAAGCCACGCAAAUCUCGUUAAGUUAGUUCAUCCACAGGCUGAAUUUUUGGUUCUUCACAGGAACGUCUCAGUGAAUGACAAAAUGGUGGACAAUUAUUUGUCAGUAGAAAAAUGUGAAAGUCAUAUAUUUGACAGAUUGACUGAGAUGAUGGGGAGGUCUUGUCGGUAUAAUUAUACUAUAUUACAGUUUAUCGUAUGUCAUGUGAUUUUUAAAUAUGAGAAUGUUGAUUGAUUAGAUUUAGGGAGGGGGAAAAAAAUGGCGUCUAUUUGAGGAAAUACGGUAAGUAUUAUAUUGGAGCACAAAAAGACAAAGGUAUAAAUAAUGCAAUUUUGAAUUUGCAGCAGAUCUUAUACAUUUAUUGAACACCCCCACUAGGCUUCAUGCAUUCCUUAACCACGUGUCAUAAAUCUAACAUGUGAUCUUGGCUUCCAGCACGGCAUGCUGCAGCAUCCCUGCCAGUGAAAGAAGCGAGAAAGG